UAGGAUAGAGAAAGGGGCGGAGAUGAUAGGGUUUGAGGGCAAGAAGAGAAAACAUGCUUCUGAGAGUUUCUUUUUAAAACAAAUGCAAUGGAUUUAAAUUGGGAGAUUUUUUUUGUGAAUGAGAUUUUUUUAUCGACUUUAAAAUAAAUAAACAAAGCCAGUUGGAGUUUUUAAGUUUUACAUUUUAAAUAAAUAAGAAAUAAAACAAUUCUAUGUCAUCAAACAUAAUGUCUGCCGGAGUGCUAUGCACACACAAGUUCAUGGAAUUUGAAAAC
rnacentral:lncRNA from 1 species